rnacentral:lncRNA from 1 species
GAACAAGCCAGGAGGUACCAGAGUCAUUCUUCAGUGAUGUAAAUGCUACACAGGGCAUGUAAAUGCUUAUAGGACUUAUUGUUCCGAGGAUAUGGACUCAGACAGAGGAACACUGGCCAGCAUGCUAGGGACGUGACAUUAGGUUGUCAUUCUGUGGAAGGGUUCUGGCAAAAGCCAGUUGUGUUUCUAGAAUUUCAAUCCAGUGAGUUGGAGUUUAGGGGAACUGGAAGGCAAGCAAGGAAGUUCUAGGGGGUAAAUUCCGGCUUUAGGAUUGGGCUGACGCAAUGAAAGUUGUAGGGAAAUCAGACUGGGAACCAGGUGGACUCCCAGAGGGACUCAUUCCAGAGAUUAUGGUGUCAAGUCUAAUUGACAACUGUGCCCCAGCACCAGAGAAGCUAACAUUGCUGGAUCAGAUCAGGGAUAGGCUGGGGAAAUGGAAUUAAUUCUAAGAUCCGUAAGAUGCUUGAUAAAUAUAGACAGCGCUUACCUAGCGCUGAUUUUGUUCUAGGAACUGUUGAAGCGCUUUACAUGUAUUGUUACAGUUCACCUGCAGAGCAACUCCUAGAGUUGACUUGGGCACCAGAAGGGGACUUUAUCUGCAUGUGAAGAUCCCCAGAACUUGCCCCAGCUGGGAGGGUCAGAGAAAGGCAAGAAGCUGCUGUACAGCGUACUUAUCAUGAGUACCAGUUUUGGGGUCUGACUGCCUUCGGAUGAAUCCUGUUCUUUCAUUCAUUAGCUAUGUGACCUUAGACAAGUCAUUGAACGUUAACAAGAAUGACAAUGCUAGGCCAUCUCAGAGGGUAUUGU